rnacentral:rRNA from 1 species
UACUCCUACGGGAGGCAGCAGUGGGGAAUAUUGCACAAUGGGCGAAAGCCUGAUGCAGCGACGCCGCGUGAGGGAUGAAGGCCUUCGGGUUGUAAACCUCUUUCAGCAGGGAAGAAGCGAAAGUGACGGUACCUGCAGAAGAAGCACCGGCUAACUACGUGCCAGCAGCCGCGGUAAUACGUAGGGUGCAAGCGUUGUCCGGAAUUAUUGGGCGUAAAGAGCUUGUAGGCGGUUUGUCGCGUCUGCUGUGAAAUUUCGGGGCUCAACCCCGAACUUGCAGUGGGUACGGGCAGACUAGAGUGUGGUAGGGGAGACUGGAAUUCCUGGUGUAGCGGUGAAAUGCGCAGAUAUCAGGAGGAACACCGAUGGCGAAGGCAGGUCUCUGGGCCACUACUGACGCUGAGAAGCGAAAGCAUGGGGAGCGAACAGGAUUAGAUACCCUGGUAGUCCAUGCCGUAAACGUUGGGAACUAGGUGUGGGCCUCAUUCCACGAGGUCCGUGCCGCAGCUAACGCAUUAAGUUCCCCGCCUGGGGAGUACGGCCGCAAGGCUAAAACUCAAAUGAAUUGACGG